UCGUAAGGCAGGGCUGAAGGAAGCCGGAAGCAAAAGCGUGGGUUGACGUACAGGUAUGCCCCGCACCCGAAAGGGUGGAGGGCAGGCAGAUUUGAGGCGGGGUGAGACCGGGACGAGUCCGCAACACAGGAUAAAGUCCUCUAUCCGUCAUAUGGUUGAACUCCGUAUAUCUGACAAUCGUGCGCUGAAAGUAG
rnacentral:ncRNA from 1 species